UGUUCAAGCGACUGUUUGCCGGCUUCGGGGCUGGAGCCGCGUGGGUGCCCUUUGUCGCCGCCAUUGCAACUGUCUCGACCAUUCUCGUCGUCCCGGACGCCGAAAGUCCCCAGGGUCGAUUAGCAGCAACUGGUUCCGGCCUCCUCUUGGGGAUCGCCGGGUGGACUGUCCUCGCGCUCGGGAUGGGAUACCGAAACGAACCCGCCCGGGUGAACAGCCGCGUCUGGGGAGAGCUCAAUGAGCGAUAUCGCACCCUGAGAACCCGGCUCGCGGCCGUUUCCAACCCGUCCUCGCCGGUG
rnacentral:misc_RNA from 1 species